rnacentral:ncRNA from 1 species
GGUUUCCCGAGCCCCAUGCGGGGCGGGAAUCAAAAGGGAAUCGGGUGUGAAUCCCGAACAGUCCCGCUGCUGUGAAACUCCAUCGACGGUCCGAACAUCUCGGCCACUGAUCCUUGCGGAUCGGGAAGGCUUCGGAUCGGGAGUCAGUCAGAAGACCUGCCAGAUCGAU